AUUGGUGGUGUAGGGGUAAAAUCCGUAGAUAUCACCAAGAAUACCCAUUGCGAAGGCGAUCUGCUGGAACUCAACUGACGCUAAGGCGCGAAAGCGUGGGGAGCAAACAGGAUUAGAUACCSUGGUAGUCCACGCCCUAAACGAUGUACACUAGUUGUUGGGAUGCUAGUCAUCUCAGUAAUGCAGCUAACGCAUUAAGUGUACCGCCUGGGGAGUACGGUCGCAAGAUUAAAACUCAAAGGAAUAGACGGGGACCCGCACAAGCGGUGGAGCAUGUGGUUUAAUUCGAAGAUACGCGAAGAACCUUACCUGGGCUUGAUAUCCUAAGAACCUUAUAGAGAUAUGAGGGUGCUAGCUUGCUAGAACUUAGAGACAGGUGCUGCACGGCUGUCGUCAGCUCGUGUCGUGAGAUGUUGGGUUAAGUCCCGCAACGAGCGCAACCCACGUAUUUAGUUGCUAACGGUUCGGCCGAGCACUCUAAAUAGACUGCCUUCGUAAGGAGGAGGAAGGUGUGGACGACGUCAAGUCAUCAUGGCCCUUAUGCCCAGGGCGACACACGUGCUACAAUGGCAUAUACAAUGAGACGCAAUACCGCGAGGUGGAGCAAAUCUAUAAAAUAUGUCCCAGUUCGGAUUGUUCUCUGCAACUCGAGAGCAUGAAGCCGGAAUCGCUAGUAAUCGUAGAUCAGCCAUGCUACGGUGAAUACGUUCCCGGGUCUUGUACUCACCGCCCGUCACACCAUGGGAGUUGAUUUCACUCGAAGCCGGAA
rnacentral:rRNA from 1 species